CCCUUAGAUGUCCUGGGCCGCACGCGCGCUACACUGAGUGUCUGAGAUACGAGUCUGCCUGGUCCGGCAAGGUCUAGGUAAUCGCUAAAAGACACAUCAUGCUUGGGAUAGAUUAUUGCAAUUAUUAAUCUUGAACGAGGAAUUCCUAGUAAGCGCAAGUCAACAGCUUGCGUUGAUUACGUCCCUGCCCUUUGUACACACCGCCCGUCGCUACUACUGAUUGGAUGUUUAAGCGAGGUUCUCGAACUGCUAGCGACUUAGCUUCGGUGAGGUCGCAGUGUGGGAAGUGAACCUAGCUUUGGUGUCUAGAGGAAGUAAAAGUCGUAACA
rnacentral:rRNA from 1 species